rnacentral:rRNA from 1 species
GACGAACCGAGCGAACGUUGUUCGGAAUCACUGGGCUUAAAGGGCUCGUAGGCGGCCAACUAAGUCAAACGUGAAAUCCCUCGGCUUAACCGGGGAACUGCGCUUGAUACUGGAUGGCUUGAGAUUGGGAGAGGGAUGCGGAAUUCCAGGUGUAGCGGUGAAAUGCGUAGAUAUCUGGAGGAACACCGGUGGCGAAGGCGGCAUCCUGGACCAACACUGACGCUGAGGAGCGAAAGCCAGGGGAGCAAACGGG